GCUGCCCGCUCGUACGCGACCCCAGGUCAGGCGGGGCUACCCGCUGAGUUUAAGCAUAUCAAUAAGCGGAGGAAAAGAAAC
rnacentral:rRNA from 1 species